CCCCCUUCAGAAGCCUGAUGUCCGAAUCAUGAAGUCUUGCCUUCAGCUCCCUAGUCUACUCCCUUCGCAUGCCCCUUAUGACUUGGGCUACCCCCCGUGCCCCCAAUGCGCGUGCCGCGCGUUUAAUAAGUCUGAUGUAAAAGGCCCUGGUUCAACGAUUGGGUGCAUUGGAAACUGUUAAACUUGAGUGCAGAAGAGGAGAGUGGAAUUCCAUGUGUAGCGGUGAAAUGCGUAGAUAUAUGGAGGAACACCGGUGGCGAAAGCGGCUCUCUGGACUGUAACUGACACUGAGGCUCGAAAGCGUGGGUAGCAAACAGGAUUAGAUACCCUGGUAGUCCACACCGUAAACGAUGAGUGCUAGUUGUUUGGGGCUAUCCAGCCCUAAGUGACGCAGCAAACGCAUUAAGCACUCCGCCUGGGGAGUACGACCGCAAGGUUGAAACUCAAAGGAAUUGACGGGGGCCCGCACAAGCGGUGGAGCAUGUGGUUUAAUUCGAAGCAACGCGAAGAACCUUACCAGGUCUUGACAUACCAGUGCUAUUCUUAGAGAUAAGAGUUACUUCGGUACACUGGAUACAGGUGGUGCAUGGUUGUCGUCA
rnacentral:rRNA from 1 species